rnacentral:misc_RNA from 1 species
UGAAAACCUUCAGCUCUGUAAAAACCAAUAAAUGACUACUUGAGGUAGGAGAUAUCUGCUUACUUGAAGAUAAACAAGAUUAGUAGUUAUUAUCAAUUGACACGUUCCAAUGCAUCCAACGCUCUGGGUAACUAAGUCUUGAAACAACAACCAUCUCGGAUAUAGCUCUUGCAAUAUCACCAUCAGGCAUUAGCCCGCUAGCUCCUUCUCCAUCGAACUGUGUGAGCUCACAGAUUGAAUAAUUUCUUGCUCAUUGGAUUCAGG